rnacentral:tRNA from 1 species
GUCUUUGUAGUAUAACUAUUACUCUGGUCUUGUAAACCAGAAAUGGAGACUAUAUCUCCCCAAGACA